GAUGAACGCUGGCGGCGUGCCUAAUACAUGCAAGUCGAGCGAACAGACGAGGAGCUUGCUCCUUUGACGUUAGCGGCGGACGGGUGAGUAACACGUAGGUAACCUACCUAUAAGACUGGGAUAACUUCGGGAAACCGGAGCUAAUACCGGAUAAUAUUUCGAACCGCAUGGUUCGAUAGUGAAAGAUGGCUUUGCUAUCACUUAUAGAUGGACCUGCGCCGUAUUAGCUAGUUGGUAAGGUAACGGCUUACCAAGGCAACGAUACGUAGCCGACCUGAGAGGGUGAUCGGCCACACUGGAACUGAGACACGGUCCAGACCCCUACGGGAGGCAGCAGUAGGGAAUCUUCCGCAAUGGGCGAAAGCCUGACGGAGCAACGCCGCGUGAGUGAUGAAGGUCUUCGGAUCGUAAAACUCCGUUAUUAGGGAAGAACAAACGUGUAAGUAACUGUGCACGUCUUGACGGUACCUAAUCAGAAAGCCACGGCUAACUACGUG
rnacentral:rRNA from 1 species